CGAAGGGCGUAGCGUUGCUCGGAAUCACUGGGCGUAAAGGGCGCGUAGGCGGCCAUUUAAGUCGGGGUGAAAGCCUGUGGCUCAACCACAGAAUUGCCUUCGAUACUGGAUGGCUUGAGUUCGGUAGAGGUUGGUGGAACUGCGAGUGUAGAGGUGAAAUUCGUAGAUAUUCGCAAGAACACCGGUGCGAAGGCGGCCAACUGGACCGACACUGACGCUGAGGCGCGAAAGCGUGGGGAGCAAACAGGAUU
rnacentral:rRNA from 1 species